GUUUUCAAUCAUCAAAGGAAAAUUCAGCUACAUGUGGUAUUUACGCCGUUUUUGAAAUAAACUAGUCGCAUGCACUGCGUCCUUUGUUCCGGAGCGGCGCAAUACCAAAACGAAAUAACUGCUCCAGUGUGAAGGGAAACAAAGAAUCAGUGAAGUUUAUUUCAAAGUAACAUCAAUAGGACCGUCAACAUCAAAAUAAAAUAAGCGGAUAAAAAAAAGGGUUUCUUAAAAGAUAAAAAGUGAAAGUAGGAACCGGCGUCAACAACAAACUGAAAAAAAGUUCAAUUAAAAAAAGAACACGUUCAAAAAAAAGUUUUACCACAAAAGGUGUAAAAAAGUGUUAAAAAGUUAAUAGUGUAGUGAAAUGAAGUAGGUGAUGUUGUCACGAUGCUCGCUAUGUCGACGUUGAUGAUGCCCGCGGCCACCAUGACCACCAUGACCAACGCCGGGCCCAUCCCCGUUGCGCAGGCCAAGCUGGAGCCCAAGCUGCUGCAGCUGCCCCACCCCAUGAUGCUACAGCAGCACCAGCACACGCACCCCCACACCAAACUUG